rnacentral:rRNA from 1 species
UCCAGACUCCUACGGGAGGCAGCAGUGGGGAAUAUUGCACAAUGGGGGAAACCCUGAUGCAGCAACGCCGCGUGAGUGAGGAAGUAUUUCGGUAUGUAAAGUUCUAUCAGCAGGGAAUAGAAAAGAAGGUACCUGAAAAAGAAGCCCCGGCUAACUACGUGCCAGCAGCCGCGGUAAUACGUAGGGGGCAAGCGUUAUCCGGAUUUACUGGGUGUAAAGGGAGCGCAGACGGCGAUGCAAGCCAGGAGUGAAAGACCGGGGCCCAACCCCGGGACUGCUCUUGGAACUGCGCGGCUGGAGUGCAGGAGGGGCAGGCGGAAUUCCUGGUGUAGCGGUGAAAUGCGUAGAUAUUAGGAGGAACACCGGUGGCGAAGGCGGCCUGCUGGACGACGACUGACGCUGAGGCUCGAAAGCGUGGGGAGCAAACAGGAUUAGAUACCCGAGUACAG